CGACUUGAAAAUUUAUCGCAAAUACUAAUUUGCUAGUUGUUACACCAAAAUACCAAAUCGCUAUUCAUGCCGGGAGUACAUAUAUAUAAACAGGUAUCUUCAGGCUAUCUUCAAGUCCCCA